CCUUUCCUGUGCUAAGGACUCCAGAGCUGGAUGCAGUACUCCAGGUGGGGUCUCACCAGAGAAGAGUAGAGGAACAGAAUCACCACUCUUGAGUGUACAUUCCCCUGGACCUUUUCAUGAAGGAAUGUUUAUACCUGUGGGCAAGCACUAAUGGCAGUGAAAGGCUUGCAUUCAUGGGAACAGCAUUUAGCAAUUCAUGGUUGCCAAGGGUGAUAUGCAUUGAUGACUCAGCCCUCCUUCCUUCUCACAUCCCAAAUCCCUGAAGAGAGGCAGAACAGUUCCUCAAACAAGCAUGAGGCUUCGCUUCAGAGACACUGUAGCAAGGAUUGUGCCGUUCUGGCAGAAAUGAGGAACAAUUUUUUUUUCUGUUCUUGAACCUUCUCUUCAGAAAAAGACAUGGACUGGGGAGGUGAAAGAUCUCAAAUUCUAGACCCACUGUGGCCGACAAACAGCAGAGCCUCCUCAGAGUGCCGCCAUCUGGGAUAUGCCAUCAACUCUAGGAAGCAACCACUCGCAGAUCUAUGGGAAAAGGUGCAACAAAUGCAACAGUCUUUUUUAAGUAUUUCUGCUUCCCAGAGAGAUUUGACAAUCCUGCCUCAGCGCCAGCCAGGGUGUGGUGGGCAGUCUGGCCAGGAAUACUGGCAGAAAUGCGGGCGAUGCCAAGUGAAAUCUCUUCAGUCCCAUGCUUGGCCUUCUACCAACCCGUACGGAAGCGGUGCGGUGCGGCGGUCCGUGAGAGCUCAUUGCAACAGUGAUUUCCUCUGGAAGUAAUGGUGCUCGGCAGCCUGUCUCUCCCAGCCACCUAGUCUUGGAGGAACAGGGAUUGGUUUGCGCUGACUUCUCCGGCUUUCUUAGCGAUGGAGGUAUAAGGAAGUGAAGAAUCUUUUGCACAUACAGAAGAAAUUAUAUGUGUUUGUGCUAAACUUUAAUCUGAGGCUAUUAACAUAAACCAAUUGACCUCCAUAGGAAGGGCAGUGGUAUUUUUACAUCACUUCACCCCCAGGUCGGGCUUCUUCUUGGUACAUUCCCUCCACUUAAUAGCUAGGAUUUUUUUUUUUUUUGAAUAUUGAAAUACUGAAAUGCUGGGACAGCAAAAAUCAAAAAACGAAAAUACCUCAAACUAUUCUAAGGGCUGUUGUAGUCUUAAAAAUUUAAGUAGUAAACAAAAGUUGCCUGGCUGUUCUCUUUAGCUGUGAUAGACAUGUAU